CAUUAUACGACAAUGAAGAUAUUGAAGAUAUACAAAUCGACUUCAGCUCCCGUGGCCGCCCAAAGUCUUUAAGUGAAUUUGCAAAAGAAUUUUCUGGAAAUCCUGCAGACGAGCCGGAUACAAUUGCUGAACUGGAAACUUUGUUCCUAAACAGAGAUUUAUCCCUCAAGUGCCUCGCUCAAUCAACGUGUUGACCAAGCAACUCU